AACGGCCGUACCAUGCUGAAUAUACCGGUUCUCGUUAGAUCACCGAAGUUAAGCAUCAUUGGGCGCGGUCGGUACUUGAAGUGACC